CUAGCAGCUGAAAGGAAGAAAGAAGAAAAGGAAAAGAAAAAAAAGAAAGGGGAUCGGGGAAGGGGGCCCGAGGGAGAAGAAAGGGAUGAGAGGAGAGGGCAAUUCGAGAGAGAGGAAGGGAGCCCCAGGGGAGGAGAAGCUCGCCACCGUCAACCUCGCCGCCGUCGUUAUCCAGGGAGCUGCCACUCCUGGUCAUCGUUGCUGAGCCCAUCAACCCCGUCACCACCGUUUGUCCUUGCCGCUGCCAGUUGCGCCGUCGCAAAGAAGAAACACGCGAGAGAAGAGGGGUCACGAGGGAAGGACGAGCGAGGGAGGAAACAGAACCGCGUUGGAUCUGUUGCCGCCGGUCUGCCCAGCUGACUCGUCGCCAAACCACGUCACCGUCCGUGAAGUUGUCUCCGUCGCCGCUGCCAGAGGUCGCCAUCGGAGCCGCCGCUCCACUUCUGUCAUUCUUUUUUUUACAAUGAGUUGCCCGCGCCUUGAAGCUCUUUCUGUAAUCAUUCUAGCUAUCUGUGGUUAAGGGCUCUGAUGUAUAGAUAUUGUAGGGUUAAUUUUAUGGGUUUGCAUGUCAAAAAUUAAGGUUGUUGCUGAGCCACUGAAGCUCUUGGCCGCUAUCGAAGCUACUGUGGGUUAAGUUUGGGGUGGCCGACGCGUCGUUCUUUUAUUCCAGAGUUAAUAACUGGGAUUGCAUGUUGGGACAUAAAGAUGUUUAUGCUGUGGCGAAAGUGUGCCGGCUAUGAAUUAAAGCUGUCGUUGACUUCGGGUCGAGAGGAAAGGAAUUUCUUGAGUCUUUUGGAUUGUGAUUUGAACGUGUCAAGGAAAUAGAUGAAGAAGCUUAUGAAGAGUAGUUCGGUUUAGCUUAUGUGAUAGAAGAUGUUUUAGUUUAGUUAUUAUUAUUCUUCCCUCGCCAUUAAUAUUAUAACUUUUGCAAGAGGAAUAGGAAUUUUGAUAU